AAAAAGUUUGAUUCUUGCUUUAACAUUUUACGUUUUAAUAAGAUUUUAUAUGAGAAUUUUGGUGGUUUUAUUGGAUAAAUUAAAAAUUAAGUUAAUUUGAUGAGAAUAAAGUUUCAAUAUAUAGUAUUGAGUUGUGGGUGAAAAUUUGAUUUGGUUAUUAGAAUUGUUCUGGCUAAAUUUUGUGCCAGCAGCCGCGGUUAGACAUAAGGAGCAAGUGAGAUUAGUUAGAUUGCAAAAGUUAUUAGGGAGAUUUUAGGUUUUUUUGAUAAUAUAAAGGGUAAAAUUGGGUUUUAUUGUUUGAUAUUUAUUUAGGAUUUGUAUAAGAAGUUAAUUUGCAAAGGUUGAGUUAUAAACUAGGAUUAGAUACCCUAUUAUACUUAAUUGAAAUUUAAUAAAUCUUGAUUAUUAAUAGGUAUAUUCUUUAAAAUUAAAGAAUUUGGCGGUAUUUUAGUCUUUUUAGAGGAACUUGUUUUAUAAUCGAUAAACCACGUAGAAUUUUACUUAUUUAAUUAGUUUGUAUACCGUCAUUAUUAGAUAACUUUUAUAGAAAUAGAUAUUAAAAUUUAAAAUUUUAAAGAAUAUUAGAUCAAGGUGCAGCUUAUAUGUAAGGAAAAAUGGGUUACAAUAAUAUUUAUUACACGGAAUUUGGUGUAAAAUUGCUAGAUGAAGGUGGAUUUAAUUGUAUGUUUAUUUUAACAAGUGGGAUUGAUAUUAGCUCUAGAAUAUGUACAUAUCGCCCGUCGCUUUCGCAGUUUAAGGUGAAAUAAGUCGUAACAUAGUAGGUGAACUGGAAAGUUUAUCUGGAGAGAG
rnacentral:ncRNA from 1 species